UACAGAGGGUGCAAACGUUGCUCGGAAUUAUUGGGCGUAAAGCGCGUGUAGGCGGCUCGUUAUGUCGGCUGUGAAAGCCCAUGGCUCAACCAUGGAAGUGCAGCCGAAACUGGCGAGCUUGAGUCCUGGAGAGGGUGGCGGAAUGCCCAGUGUAGAGGUGAAAUUCGUAGAUAUUGGGUAGAACACCGGUGGCGAAGGCGGCCACCUGGACAGCGACUGACGCUAGACGCGAAAGCGUGGGGAGCGAACAGG
rnacentral:rRNA from 1 species